GCGGAUGUAGCUCAGUUGGUAGAGCGCGACCUUGCCAUGGUCGAGGCCAGGGGUUCGAACCCCCUCAUCCGCU
rnacentral:tRNA from 1 species